rnacentral:rRNA from 1 species
UACGUAGGGACCAAGCGUUGUCCGGAAUCAUUGGGCGUAAAGAGCGUGUAGGCGGCUUGUUAAGUCUUGCGUGAAAUCUCGGGGCUCAACCCCGAGCGGUCGUGAGAAACUGGCAGGCUAGAGUGCGGGAGAGGAGAGUGGAAUUCCCGGUGUAGCGGUGAAAUGCGCAGAUAUCGGGAAGAACACCCGUGGCGAAGGCGGCUCUCUGGAACGCAACUGACGCUGAGACGCGAAAGCGUGGGGAGCAAACAGG